AUUUAUUCCAAAGCCCGAAGUAAACAAAAUAAUAAAGUAUCUUUAUAUUUUGUUUUUUUUUUAUUUCAUGAAAAUUUUGAUGGGUGCUUAACCGUGAUUUAUAAUAGAUUGUUAACAAAGUAUACAUAUUUUAUUUAGAUAUUUUAAAAGAAGAAUUUUGAAUUUCUAUUUGGUUUUCAAACUUACUUGGACGAAUUUUAAAGCUUGAGUGGACACGGCAUUACAAGUGAUGUGGCGGAACAACUGAAUAUGAGAGACAAUCCUGUGAACGUGCUUUUGAUAAUCAUACUCGCGGGUAAAUAGGUUGAGCUCCCGUGGUGUACUGGUAUCCCAAAGGCCAUAAGAAUUGCGAAGGAAAACGAAAAAUCAAGGCAGCACACACUUAAAAAUAAAGUCACAGAAGCAGAAACAUAACUUUGGUAAAUAAAAAUUAUCGACUAUUUAACGAUUUGUGGACAUUACUCUGCUCGUUCGAACAAUAAAUGAUUUAUAGAAAAAAAAAAAAGAAAAAGAUAGGAAGAACCGGCAAUGUAUGUCUCGUCAUAUUUCAGUGGCGUAUUGACUAUUGUAAUAAAUAAUUUAACACACUCAUUACGGAUGUGUUAAAUUUGAUUUCAAUGUUUUACUCGUAACAACCAAUCAGCACAGUCGAACGUUCACAGGACAAAGCUAUGUAAACGAACUGGACUUAAAACAUGACCAUUGUAGGGUAUAGACAAAUCCGACUGUGAUUUACCACGUAUGUUUUGGAUACCAUUGACGACACAGAUGGCCAAUUAUUAUAGUGAUUUGAAAUGAAUGUUCAGAUAUAAUCCAUUAUUAUUGAAGAUUACUUGAAACUCACAUGCAGUUAUUAAAUUGAAACGCACGGUUAUAUAUAUAUGAUUGUUGGUAGUUGCGUCGAGCGAAAAUAGUGACUAGAAAUCAGAAAAUGUUAAGAUUUCCUAAAAACGGUCUACAUGAAUUUGGCUGAUUAAAUCGUGCUCGGAUUACGAGUUUACGGACUUCCAAGAUGGUAUACCAUAAAUAUUGAAUUGCGUAAUGAAUCAUAAAAUAUAUUAUUAACAUUCUCGUAAUGACUAUAUUAUUGCUAUAAGUAUGCGAAGAUCAAACAUUUUUAUAUGUUUGAAGAUUAUAAUAAAUAUUAUACAUUACACAUAAUAUAUUUUUAUUCGAGUACAAAGAUAAAUGUGCUCUCACUCACUUUCACAGUAGGCUGCAGUUGCACUUAUAUUAUUAUGCAUAUAACCUAUAACCGAAGGUAAGUAUAUUCAUAUAAAAACAACAAAAAAAAAAAAAAAAAUGUAUAUAAAACGAGUUGGUUUUCA